UUCAUUUUCUCUCUUCCUCUCUCUCUCUCUCUCUCUCUCUCAUACCUCUUCCCCUUCCCCUUCGAGUCUUCUCUGUUUAAUCUUCUCUUCUUCUCAACUAUUUUUUCUUGAAGUUUGGAUAUUGAGUUUGAUUUAGCAAUCCGCCUUCGACUCGGCCUCUGGUGCCUUCAACUCCGCCUCUGGUGCCUUCAACACUGCCUCUGGCGCCUUCAAUUCCAAACUCUGCUCCUGCGUUUGUCAUUCAAGAUACAUCUCUUUUACUCUUUAUCAAAAUUUAAUCUCAAACCUCUCUCUCGUCUCUUGUGUUUCCCUUUUUUUCCAAUUAUCCAGAUUAAACAAAGUAACGAGACUGUUGGGACAGGUGGGGAGAGCUUUCUCAGAGAUGAAAACGGCAACGAAGCUCAAGCACCACCGUCUUAAAUUCCAACCUAUUGUUAUUCUCCUCUACCUGAUGAUGAAGCCCAGAGGCGAGCCGUUUUUGAUUGGGCCGAGAUGAAGCUCUCUGAAUCCGCCGGUCAAGACUCUAACUCCACCGCGUCUCUGAAGAAGAGGAGAGAGGAUGAAAUAGAAGAGGAGAGAAGAUGAGGAAGACCAACACCGGAUCUGACAAAGCUUUGGUGUGGAGAUGGCAGAGGAAGCUAGUGGUGGUUGAGGUGGAGCCGAGCAAGAAGAAGAAGAGGAAGAGAGGUUUAGGUUUAGUAGGUUUAGGUUUAGUUGUUUGGUUUAGUUUGGUUAACUUUGAUGUACCGGUUUUAGAUUUAUAACAAUUUUGAUAUAUAAUUUUUUUUUUUAAUUUUUAAUAAGGUAAAUAAUAACACAAAAACAACGCUAUUAAAAAGUAUUUAGUUGCAUAUACAAAACCGCUAUAGUAUAUCGUAAUAUGAUAGCAGUGCAAAAAAACGAUAUCUAAUGUGUCUGGUCUACUAUGACGGGCGAUGAUACAGCGCUUUAUAAACGCUAUAGUAUCGUUAGAUAGCGUUUUUCGUCCGCUAAUAAAAGCUUUUUUUCUUGUAGUGUUAGCAUCCGAUUACAACAUCUUAUUAAUGUCAUCCUGAAAGAAACAGAGUGGCCUGCCUUAGCCCCGGAGUUGGACGACAUUAACCUUCUUGCUGCAAGAUUGCAAAAUGCUGUGUUUUCUCAUAUUUAUCGAUCUGUUAAUCUCCGUGCGGACUCCUUAGCAAAAGGAGGACGAUCACGAGCUCAAACCUUCUCAGAUGUAAACGUUAUGGUUCUCCGUAGGCCGGCUCUAGUAGCUAGCUUGAUCGAACCAGAGUGAUUUCUCAUAAAAGUUAGAUUGAUGACAAGAAAAAACAGUAAAUGUCAGUUUAUUUUACAGAUAACACCUGGAAAAUUGAUAAACUAAAAUUGGAUUUUAAUCUACUGUCAAGUUAACAGUGUAGUUGUAAUAUGUUUAGAUUCAAUUCCAGAGGACUAGUUCACACUUUAUCUUUAUGGGAUCAGAAUUAAGCUAAAAAGAAGUAGGGAUUUUAAGAAGAUGUAAAUAACGUAAGGAACAAGUAACAAGAUUAGGUUGUUUUCGAAUUGAUUAAGGGCGCUAGUCUAGGGUUUCUUUUCAGGCAAGGAGUUCGCGAACCAAGCAAUUAUUCAAGUUCAGUUUUUAACAAGUCUAAACUCGGAUCACUCAAGUUAAAUCAACCCACUUUCGUGGUGUUGAUUCCUUUGCAAAUCGGUCUUGAUGCCUAAACUCUCGUUUGGAUCAAGACGCGCCAGCAAGCUUUAGAGAUCAAGUCCGAUAUGUUCACAAUACACCCUAAUAUCUACUCUCGCUGACUAGGGAUGCAAAGCUAAUUUAAAUCAUAUCAGGUUAUCAAUCAAUGGUUAGCUAAAUCGAUUAACCCUAAUUCAUGCACUAAGUGAUCGGUUCAAUGCAAGCAAUAAGAACAGAUAUGAAUGUAGACAAUCUUACGAUGACUUAUCUAUGCUCAGUUUACGAAUCCAACACCCUAGAACCCUAAACUAACUCGGUGACUACUCAGACAUAACACAAGAACAGAGAAGCAUGAUUUCUGAAUAAUACUGCAUAUAAUAAAUAAUAUGAAUCAGAGGGUUCAGCAUAAUCUUCUAUAGGAGAUAUAUGGAGCCGUCUCCCUUACAAGUAGCAAAUCGCAAAUCGCAAGCUCUCUCCAGUCUUUCUUGCGUAAAACUAAGGUUUUGUUUAAAAUAAUAAAUAGGAAACUAUAUAUAUAUGAGCCACAGGCUGCUAGAGGAAGGAAAUAGGAAAUCUAAGGCAAAUCCCGAAAUAUUUGGAAACUUUUUUUUUUUAUCUCUGUCGCUGGAACAGACACUCAGGCUGCUCCGGCUGGCUGUUAUGCGCGAAAGACUCCAAAUCAUACUUUUCUCUCUUCUUUUCCUCUAGCUGGUCCAUUUCCCAUCCAAUACAACUCUAGACUUGUUAUGACUCAAAAGGGACUAAAAAGACUUGAUAAAACUUUGAAAACUAUUAGUAAGACAUACGUAUAAUGUGCCAAAAAUACAAUAUAUCAACUCUCCCAGACUUAGAUCCUUGUUUGUCCUCAAACAAAAUCAAGUACCAAGAACCGAGAGAAAGGUUUGAAAGUGUGGGAACUCGCUUAUUCUCAGCAACCAUACAAUAACCACGAAUCUCUAAACAAUAUAAGCAGUUUAGCUAAAACGACACAUCCUUACCAAGAACUCCACUGACUGCUGUUCAGAACGGCUCCAUACUCUGUAUCUCAUACCUGCCAAAGUUAAAACCUUCUAGACAAAACUCCUUAUAUUCAAUUAAGAGUAGUGUGAGCUUCUCAUCAUAGACAUUAGAUAGAGUGACGGUCUAGGUAUGAAACAUGCCUUUUGUGUUUAAGUGGAGCUAAUCAGUGUUUAGGGGUUACCAAAUUUCGUAGAGGAUGCAGGAUAUCGCGCAAAAUUGCAAGAGAGGAUAGAUCCAUUGAUGUCCGCAGCCUCUACUCGUUUUUGCAUGUUCUUCUGAUCUGCAUGGUUCUCAUCUCUUUUCUUUACACUCCUUCUAAUUCAGUGGCGUCUGUCUUUUCUUUUAGAAUCUUCUCCUUCUUCAUCACCUUAUUCUGAAGUACAUAAAGCUAAAAUAAAUAUUUUUUUUCUUCUUUUUUUUUUGAAUAAUACAUAGGUGAUGGUGACGAAGCAGGAGGUAACAAUUGUGAUAGCGACAUGCCACUGGAGUUCUUGACCUCCCAUUCAUUCUUGUCUCUCUUCUUUUCUUAGUUAGAUCAUCGGCGGCGGAGCGGCUGCUCCGUGUGCUUCCGCCUAUUCUUCAGCAGAAACUUCUGUUGCAUCAACGAGUAAGAGACUGUGUUGAUCCUUUCCUCUCCGGCCAUUUUGUACAUAUCUGCACAUAAGAUACUGAAUAACAAAUGCAUGAGGGCGGAACAAAGGCUGUAGGGUUUUAAGGUGGGUACUAGCUAAAGAUGAGCUAGUCACUCAGGAUCAGCAAGAUGGAUAAAAAGAAUAAGAAGUCCUGAGAGUUGAUCACGUUAAACCCUAUUCUAACGCCCAUAACAAGAAGAAUGGCAGUCAAGAUUAAGUUCAAGUUAGAUGGAGUUAAGUCUUUCCAGAGUAACCUCGACAAGCUGAAAGCUUUUGGAGAACAAGAUGAUGUAAUGUCAGGGUGUUCUGGAUCCACAUGUGCGUCUGUUGCUUCUGCUAAGGUCACUGAAUAAGAUGAAUUAGAGCACGAGGGUGGUUAAUACACAUCAUAGAAUAAGGUCCUGAUUCCCACAAAGUUUGGACUGACUCGAUUUAAAUACCGCUGUUUUCUUGUAGUGAUACCUGUUAGUUUUAGAUAGCGUUUGUAUAUUUGGAAACGCUAUGAUAGAAUUGUAUAAUUAGAAACGUUAUGAUAGCUUAUGUUUAAUAGCAAAAUAAUUAAAACGCUAUGUUUGGUUUUUUAAAUCUCUUAACCCUAAACAAGUUUUUAAACCCUAAACUCUAACUAUAAACCUUAAAACUCUUAUAUUCUCAUACUAUAACUUCAACUUUUGAAUUUGAUCUCAAACUUAUUCUUUUUAAUUUUAAUAUAUAACUUCCAAACACACAAACCUUAAUUCUUCAAUCAAACUCUAUACCCUAAAUCCUAACAUCAAACAUAUAUAAACAUAGCUCUUAAAUUGAAUCAUAAACAUAUAAACUCUAAAGCACAAAACAUAUAAUUUGUAUAAUAAUUUCAAAAUCAUAACACACAGCUCUUAAAUUUGUGUUAAAAAUACUUAAUAUAACUCUAAUUAUUCAAACCCUAUUAUGAAAAUUUUGAAAAUCAUAAAUCUACAAAAUCCAAAUCAAAUUUAUAUUUCAAAUGUUAAAUUAUAAUAUCUAAUCUUUAAAUUUAGAAAAAUUCUAAAAGAAUUAAAAAUAAAUGUAAACACAUUAAACUUUAAUUUAAACUCUAAAUCAUAAAUCAAACUCCAACUUUUUAAUAUACACAAACCUUAAACAAAAAACAAUAAUGUGUACUGAAGAAAAACAAAAAGUUGUCGAAGAAAAGGUAAAAAAUAAAAAAGGCUUUUCUAUUGGCCAAUACAUGAAUCAUCUGGAUUGCAAUACAAACCCUUAGAUUAGUUUAAUCUAACGACCAUAAUUCAUUUGUGCUUCUCUUCUUCUUUGUUUCAUUUUCUCUCUUCCUCUCUCUCUCUCUCUCUCUCUCUCAUACCUCUUCCCCUUCCCCUUCGAGUCUUCUCUGUUUAAUCUUCUCUUCUUCUCAACUAUUUUUUCUUGAAGUUUGGAUAUUGAGUUUGAUUUAGCAAUCCGCCUUCGACUCGGCCUCUGGUGCCUUCAACUCCGCCUCUGGUGCCUUCAACACUGCCUCUGGCGCCUUCAAUUCCAAACUCUGCUGCUGCGUUUGUCAUUCAAGAUACAUCUCUUUUACUCUUUAUCAAAAUUUAAUCUCAAACCUCUCUCUCGUCUCUUGUGUUUCCAUUUUUUUCAAUUAUCCAGAUUUAAAAAAAAGUAACGAGAAUGUUGGGACAGGUGGGGAGAGCUUUCUCAGAGAUGAAAACGGCAACGAAUCUCAAGCACCACCGUCUUCAAUGCCAACAUAUUGCGAUGCUCCUCUGCCUGAUGACGAAGCCCAGAGACGCGCCGUUUUUGAUUGGGUUGAGGUGAAGCUCUCCGAAUCUGCCGCUCAAGACUCUAACUCCACCGCGUCUCUGAAGAAGAGGAGAGAGGAUGAAAUAGAAGAGGAGAGAAGAUGAAGAAGACCAACACCGGAUCUGACAAAGCUUUGGUGUGGAGAUGGCAGAGGAAGCUAGUGGUGGU
rnacentral:lncRNA from 1 species